UACGUAGGAUCCGAGCGUUAUCCGAAUUUACUGGGCGUAAAGCGCGUGCAGGCGGUCUGAUAAGUUGGAUGUGAAAGCUCCUGGCUCAACUGGGAGAGGCCGUUCAAAACUAUCAGACUAGAGGGCGGUAGAGGGAGGUGGAAUUCCCGGUGUAGUAGUGAAAUGCGUAGAUAUCGGGAGGAACACCAGUGGCGAAAGCGGCCUCCUGGACCGUUCCUGACGCUCAGACGCGAAAGCUAGGGGAGCAAACGGG
rnacentral:rRNA from 1 species